rnacentral:rRNA from 1 species
AACGCUAGCGACAGGCUUUAACACAUGCAAGUCGAGGGGCAGCACGGCGGUGGUAACACUGCUGGUGGCGACCGGCGCACUGGUGAGUAACACGUAUGCAACCUGCCCCGCACAGGGGGAUAAUCCGCGGAAACGCGGUCUAAUACCCCGUAGAACCUUUUGGUCGCAUGAUUAGAGGUGGAAAGCUCCGGUGGUGCGGGAUGGGCAUGCGUCGCAUUAGCUAGUUGGUGAGGUAACGGCCCACCGAAGCGACGAUCAGUAGGGGUUCUGAGAGGAAGGUCCCCCACAUUGGUACUGAGACACGGACCAAACUCCUACGGGAGGCAGCAGUGAGGAAUAUUGGUCAAUGGGCGUAGGCCUGAACCAGCCAAGUAGCGUGCAGGAAGACUGCCCUAUGGGUUGUAAACUGCUUUUAUGCGGGAAUAAAGUCAGGUACGUGUACCUGUUUGCAUGUACCGCAUGAAUAAGGACCGGCUAAUUCCGUGCC